rnacentral:rRNA from 1 species
UACUCGGGUGGCGAACGGGUGAGUAACACGUGGGUAAUCUGCCCUGCACUCUGGGAUAAGCCUGGGAAACUUGGUCUAAUACUGGAUAUGACCUUUCUCCUUAUGGGGUUUGGUGGAAAGUUUUUCGGUGUAGGAUGAGCCCGCGGCCUAUCAGCUUGUUGGUGGGGUGAUGGCCUACCAAGGCGACGACGGGUAGCCGGCCUGAGAGGGUGAUCGGCCACAUUGGGACUGAGAUACGGCCCAG